rnacentral:rRNA from 1 species
CGCGUCGGAUGUGAAAGCCCGGGGCUUAACCCGGGGUCUGCAUUCGAUACGGGCAGACUAGAGUGUGGUAGGGGAGAUCGGAAUUCCUGGUGUAGCGGUGAAAUGCGCAGAUAUCAGGAGGAACACCGGUGGCGAAGGCGGAUCUCUGGGCCAUUACUGACGCUGAGGAGCGAAAGCGUGGGGAGCGAACAGGAUUAGAUACCCUGGUAGUCCACGCCGUAAACGGUGGGAACUAGGUGUUGGCGACAUUCCACGUCGUCGGUGCCACAGCUAACGCAUUAAGUUCCCCGCC